UACGUAGGGUGCGAGCGUUAAUCGGAAUUACUGGGCGUAAAGCGUGCGCAGGCGGUUCUGAAAGUCAGCUGUGAAAGCCCCGGGCUUAACCUGGGAAUUGCGGUUGAAACUACAGGGCUAGAAUCUGGCAGAGGGGGGUAGAAUUCCACGUGUAGCAGUGAAAUGCGUAGAGAUGUGGAGGAACACCGAUGGCGAAGGCAGCCCCCCUGGGUCAAGAUUGACGCUCAUGCACGAAAGCGUGGGGAGCAAACAGG
rnacentral:rRNA from 1 species